rnacentral:sRNA from 1 species
GCCGGGCGCAGUGGUGCACUCCUGUGAUCCCAGUGGCUUGGGAGGCUGAGGCAGGAGGACUGUGAGUUCAAAGCCAACCUCAGCAACUUAGCGAGAUCCUGUCUCUA